rnacentral:rRNA from 1 species
UACGUAGGGGGCAAGCGUUGUCCGGAUUUAUUGGGCGUAAAGAGCGUGUAGGCGGCCAGACAGGUCCGUUGUGAAAACUCGAGGCUCAACCUCGAGACGCCGAUGGAAACCGUCUGGCUAGAGUCCGGAAGAGGAGAAUGGAAUUCCUGGUGUAGCGGUGAAAUGACGCAGAUAUCAGGAAGAACACCCGUGGCGAAGGCGGUUCUCUGGGACGGUACUGACGCUGAGACGCGAAAGCGUGGGGAGCGAACAGG